rnacentral:rRNA from 1 species
GAUGAACGCUGGCGGCGUGCCUAAUACAUGCAAGUCGAGCGAACAGACGAGGAGCUUUCUCCUCUGACGUUAGCGGCGGACGGGUGAGUAACACGUGGAUAACCUACCUAUAAGACUGGGAUAACUUCGGGAAACCGGAGCUAAUACCGGAUAACAUGUUGAACCGCAUGGUUCAACAGUGAAAGACGGUUUUGCUGUCACUUAUAGAUGGAUCCGCGCCGCAUUAGCUAGUUGGUAAGGUAACGGCUUACCAAGGCAACGAUGCGUAGCCGACCUGAGAGGGUGAUCGGCCACACUGGAACUGAGACACGGUCCAGACUCCUACGGGAGGCAGCAGUAGGGAAUCUUCCGCAAUGGGCGAAAGCCUGACGGAGCAACGCCGCGUGAGUGAAGAAGGUCUUCGGAUCGUAAAGCUCUGUUAUUAGGGAAGAACAAAUGUGUAAGUAACUAUGCACGUCUUGACGGUACCUAAACAGAAAGCCACGGCUAACUACGUG